rnacentral:misc_RNA from 1 species
GAUGAAUAACGUAGCGAAAUGCGAUAAGUAAUGUGAAUUGCAGAAUUCAGUGAAUCAUCGAAUCUUUGAACGCACAUUGCGCCCGCCAGUAUUCUGGCGGGCAUGCCUGUUCGAGCGUCAUUUCAACCAUCAAGCCCCAGGCUUGUGUUGGAGCCCUGCGGCUGCCGCAGCCUCCCAAAACCAGUGGCGGGCUCGCUAUCACACCGAGUGCAGUAGUUUACUCUUCGCUCAGGGCGUGUGGCGGGUGCUAGCCGUAAAACCCCCAACUUCUCAAGGUUGACCUCGGAUCAGGUAGGAAUACCCGCUGAACUUAAGCAUAUCAAUAAGCGGAGGA